rnacentral:rRNA from 1 species
GACGUAGGGCGCGAGCGUUGUCCGGAUUUAUUGGGCGUAAAGAGCUCGUAGGCGGCUUGUUGCGUCAGCUGUGAAAACCCGCAGCUCAACUGUGGGCUUGCAGCUGAUACGGGCAGGCUUGAGUUCGGUAGGGGAGACUGGAAUUCCUGGUGUAGCGGUGAAAUGCGCAGAUAUCAGGAGGAACACCGGUGGCGAAGGCGGGUCUCUGGGCCGAUACUGACGCUGAGGAGCGAAAAGCGUGGGGAGCGAACAGG